rnacentral:rRNA from 1 species
CGUCACACUAUCAUUAACUGAAUCCAUAGGUUAAUGAGGCGAACCGGGGGAACUGAAACAUCUAAGUACCCCGAGGAAAAGAAAUCAACCGAGAUUCCCCCAGUAGCGGCGAGCGAACGGGGAGGAGCCCAGAGCCUGAAUCAGUAUGUGUGUUAGUGGAAGCGUCUGGAAAGGCGUGCGAUACAGGGUGACAGCCCCGUACACAAAAAUGCACAUGCUGUGAGCUCGAUGAGUAGGGCGGGACACGUGGUAUCCUGUCUGAAUAUGGGGGGACCAUCCUCCAAGGCUAAAUACUCCUGACUGACCGAUAGUGAACCAGUACCGUGAGGGAAAGGCGAAAAGAACCCCGGCGAGGGGAGUGAAAAAGAACCUGAAACCGUGUACGUACAAGCAGUGGGAGCCUCUUUAUGGGGUGACUGCGUACCUUUUGUAUAAUGGGUCAGCGACUUAUAUUCUGUAGCAAGGUUAACCGAAUAGGGGAGCCGAAGGGAAACCGAGUCUUAACUGGGCGUUAAGUUGCAGGGUAUAGACCCGAAACCCGGUGAUCUAGCCAUGGGCAGGUUGAAGGUUGGGUAACACUAACUGGAGGACCGAACCGACUAAUGUUGAAAAAUUAGCGGAUGACUUGUGGCUGGGGGUGAAAGGCCAAUCAAACCGGGAGAUAGCUGGUUCUCCCCGAAAGCUAUUUAGGUAGCGCCUCGUGAAUUCAUCUCCGGGGGUAGAGCACUGUUUCGGCAAGGGGGUCAUCCCGACUUACCAACCCGAUGCAAACUGCGAAUACCGGAGAAUGUUAUCACGGGAGACACACGGCGGGUGCUAACGUCCGUCGUGAAGAGGGAAACAACCCAGACCGCCAGCUAAGGUCCCAAAGUCAUGGUUAAGUGGGAAACGAUGUGGGAAGGCCCAGACAGCCAGGAUGUUGGCUUAGAAGCAGCCAUCAUUUAAAGAAAGCGUAAUAGCUCACUGGUCGAGUCGGCCUGCGCGGAAGAUGUAACGGGGCUAAACCAUGCACCGAAGCUGCGGCAGCGACACUAUGUGUUGUUGGGUAGGGGAGCGUUCUGUAAGCCGUUGAAGGUGGCCUGUGAGGCUUGCUGGAGGUAUCAGAAGUGCGAAUGCUGACAUAAGUAACGAUAAAGCGGGUGAAAAGCCCGCUCGCCGGAAGACCAAGGGUUCCUGUCCAACGUUAAUCGGGGCAGGGUGAGUCGACCCCUAAGGCGAGGCCGAAAGGCGUAGUCGAUGGGAAACAGGUUAAUAUUCCUGUACUUGGUGUUACUGCGAAGGGGGGACGGAGAAGGCUAUGUUGGCCGGGCGACGGUUGUCCCGGUUUAAGCGUGUAGGCUGAUUUUCCAGGCAAAUCCGGAGAAUCAAGGCUGAGGCGUGAUGACGAGGCACUACGGUGCUGAAGCAACAAAUGCCCUGCUUCCAGGAAAAGCCUCUAAGCAUCAGGUAACAUCAAAUCGUACCCCAAACCGACACAGGUGGUCAGGUAGAGAAUACCAAGGCGCUUGAGAGAACUCGGGUGAAGGAACUAGGCAAAAUGGUGCCGUAACUUCGGGAGAAGGCACGCUGAUGGUAGGUGAAGCGACUUGCUCGUGGAGCUGAAAUCAGUCGAAGAUACCAGCUGGCUGCAACUGUUUAUUAAAAACACAGCACUGUGCAAACACGAAAGUGGACGUAUACGGUGUGACGCCUGCCCGGUGCCGGAAGGUUAAUUGAUGGGGUCAGCCGCAAGGCGAAGCUCUUGAUCGAAGCCCCGGUAAACGGCGGCCGUAACUAUAACGGUCCUAAGGUAGCGAAAUUCCUUGUCGGGUAAGUUCCGACCUGCACGAAUGGCGUAAUGAUGGCCAGGCUGUCUCCACCCGAGACUCAGUGAAAUUGAACUCGCUGUGAAGAUGCAGUGUACCCGCGGCAAGACGGAAAGACCCCGUGAACCUUUACUAUAGCUUGACACUGAACAUUGAGCCUUGAUGUGUAGGAUAGGUGGGAGGCUUUGAAGUGUGGACGCCAGUCUGCAUGGAGCCGACCUUGAAAUACCACCCUUUAAUGUUUGAUGUUCUAACGUGGACCCGUGAUCCGGGUUGCGGACAGUGUCUGGUGGGUAGUUUGACUGGGGCGGUCUCCUCCUAAAGAGUAACGGAGGAGCACGAAGGUUGGCUAAUCCUGGUCGGACAUCAGGAGGUUAGUGCAAUGGCAUAAGCCAGCUUGACUGCGAGCGUGACGGCGCGAGCAGGUGCGAAAGCAGGUCAUAGUGAUCCGGUGGUUCUGAAUGGAAGGGCCAUCGCUCAACGGAUAAAAGGUACUCCGGGGAUAACAGGCUGAUACCGCCCAAGAGUUCAUAUCGACGGCGGUGUUUGGCACCUCGAUGUCGGCUCAUCACAUCCUGGGGCUGAAGUAGGUCCCAAGGGUAUGGCUGUUCGCCAUUUAAAGUGGUACGCGAGCUGGGUUUAGAACGUCGUGAGACAGUUCGGUCCCUAUCUGCCGUGGGCGCUGGAGAACUGAGGGGGGCUGCUCCUAGUACGAGAGGACCGGAGUGGACGCAUCACUGGUGUUCGGGUUGUCAUGCCAAUGGCACUGCCCGGUAGCUAAAUGCGGAAGAGAUAAGUGCUGAAAGCAUCUAAGCACGAAACUUGCCCCGAGAUGAGUUCUCCCUGAGACUUUAAGUCUCCUGAAGGAACGUUGAAGACGACGACGUUGAUAGGCCGGGUGUGUAAGCGCAGCGAUGCGUUGAGCUAACCGGUACUAAUGAACCGUGAGGCUUAACCUU